AAGGGUAAUAAUUAAAUAGGACAUCAAGAAAAUAAAUCAGCCCCCCCCCAAUCGGGUUAUUGCCCCCCCAUAGGGGCUAAUUACCCCCCCCCACCGGGUUAAUUGCCCCCCCCAUAGGGAUUUUUGCCCCCCUAUAUGGCCAAUUGCCCCCCCACAGGGCUAAUUGCUCCCCAUAGGGGCUAAUUACCCCCCCACUGGGUUAAUUGCCCCCCCAUAGGGAUUUUUGCCCCCUAUAGGGCUAACUGCCCCCCCCAUAGGGCUAAUUGCUCCCCAUAGGGGCUAAUUACCCCCCCCCACUGGGUUAAUUGCCCCCCCAUAGAGUUUUUUGCCCCCCUAUAGGGGUUAUUGCCCCCCCAUAGGGCUAAUUGCUCCCCAUAGGGGCUAAUUACCCCCCCCCACCGGGUUAAUUGCCCCCCCCAUAGGGAUUUUUGCCCCCCUAUAUGGCCAAUUGCCCCCCCACAGGGCUAAUUGCUCCCCAUAGGGUUAAUUACCCCCCCUUGGGCUAAUUGCCCCCCCAUAGGGUUAAUUACCCCCCCCCCUUUGGCUAAUUGCCCCCCCCCAUAGGGUUAUUCCCCCCCCCAUCAGGGUUAAUUACCCCCCCUUGGGCUA
rnacentral:lncRNA from 7 species